UAGGGUGACCAACCAUCUUGGUUUGCCUGGGAUUGAGGGGGUUCCCAGGAUGCUGGACUUUCAGUUUUUAAACCAGGAAAGUC
rnacentral:miRNA from 1 species